rnacentral:rRNA from 1 species
GACGAACGCUGGCGGCGUGCUUAACACAUGCAAGUCGAACGGAAAGGCCCUGCUUUUGUGGGGUGCUCGAGUGGCGAACGGGUGAGUAACACGUGAGUAACCUGCCCUUGACUUUGGGAUAACUUCAGGAAACUGGGGCUAAUACCGGAUAGGAGCUCCUGCUGCAUGGUGGGGGUUGGAAAGUUUCGGCGGUUGGGGAUGGACUCGCGGCUUAUCAGCUUGUUGGUGGGGUAGUGGCUUACCAAGGCUUUGACGGGUAGCCGGCCUGAGAGGGUGACCGGCCACAUUGGGACUGAGAUACGACCCAGACUCCUACUGGAGGCAGCAGUGUAGAAUAUUUCACAAUGGGCGGAAGCCUGAUGCAGCAACGCCGCGUGCGGGAUGACGGCCUUCGGGUUGUAAACCGCUUUCGCCUGUGACGAAGCGUGAGUGACGGUAAUGGGUAAAGAAGCACCGGCUAACUACGUG